CAUAGGAAAAAAAAUUUCGAGCUUCUCCCCAAGCCUCAGCUGUCUCCACUUCUCUCUCUCUCUCUCUCUCUCUGUGAAACAUUUUUGUAUUUUUGACCUGGUCUGAGUUCUAAACUCUACUCUACUUCAACAUGUGAAGUUCUUAACGGCCUUUUACUCCCCCUAUUUUCAAAAAAUUCCCUCCCAAUCGACUCAAAUUGGACGAAGCCCACAAAGAACUAGAAGUUCACCCAGUAUAAUCUCAAAGAUUCUGCUUUCAAAUCGGUUUGUAUAAGCUUUUUGCUUAUUUUCUUCCAUGGCGAAGUGGGUUGCGCUGGUUGAAGGGAUUUUCUGGUCGAAGUGGGUUCGUCUGUCGUGAAGGCAAUAUCUUUUCUUUUUUGUUGGUGGGUCUGAUCUGGAGCUUCUUCAAUAGUGCCGGAGGUCAUGCGGCUAAGUGGGUUGCACCAGUUUGAAGGAAUUUUCUGGUCACAGUGGCUUUUCUAUAGGUGGGUCCCCAAGGUUUCAUCUCUUCCACUAUGGUGUGAUGUGGAUCAAAAUAUUUCUAUGUGCUUAGCUAAAGUGUCAUUUGUUGGCACAAGUCAUGUAAUUAGCCAGCUAUGGAAAUCUCAGAUUUAGGAAUCCCUUCAAUCAAGGGUCAAACAUGAUUAUAGCCGUAGAUAUUGUAUAGACGAAGAAUAGCUUCCUAAAAUAGUUUCUUGUAUCUCUAUAUCUUGUACUCUAUUUUAUGGAAUAAACACAAAAAAAUUACGUUUGACA